rnacentral:lncRNA from 1 species
UGAAAUCAUAUUUUGUAAAUCUUUUUAUAGCAUUUAUAAAGGACACUACAACAUGUAAACAUGUCAGAAAACAUAUGUCGAUAUUACUUUGUUUUACGUUCGUGGGAGUAGGGAACCAGCCAUGAUUGUGUACGUACGUCUCAUGGAGCGUACUCUCCCUGAAUAUUUGACCUGUAGACUUAGAGAAGUUAUGACGCCAAAAAAUUUCGUACGAGUGGAGUGAGGGGAAGAGUAGAAUAAAAUGAGGGGAUGAGUGGUAUGAGAGUAGAAGUAGAAAUGGGGAACAGAGAAAACACCAAAGUAGAAGUAAAGAUGCUACAGUAACAACAAGCACACCGUGUAGACCCCGUUAUAUGAGCAGUCCAAACAAUCAAAAUCAACGACACCAAGACUGGCACCACGUGCUCCCCAAGAGGCCACAUGAAGGGUGGUCAUUGUAUGUUCCAUCUAGAC